rnacentral:rRNA from 1 species
AUUGAACGCUUUCUUCAUUCCUAACACAUGCAAGUCGAACGGUAACAGAAAGCAGCUUGCUGCUUUGCUGACGAGUGGCGGACGGGUGAGUAAUGUCUGGGAAACUGCCUGAUGGAGGGGGAUAACUACUGGAAACGGUAGCUAAUACCGCAUAACGUCGCAAGACCAAAGAGGGGGACCUUCGGGCCUCUUGCCAUCGGAUGUGCCCAGAUGGGAUUAGCUUGUUGGUGGGGUAACGGCUCACCAAGGCGACGAUCCCUAGCUGGUCUGAGAGGAUGACCAGCCACACUGGAACUGAGACACGGUCCAGACUCCUACGGGAGGCAGCAGUGGGGAAUAUUGCACAAUGGGCGCAAGCCUGAUGCAGCCAUGCCGCGUGUAUGAAGAAGGCCUUCGGGUUGUAAAGUACUUUCAGCGGGGAGGAAGGGAGUAAAGUUAAUACCUUUGCUCAUUGACGUUACCCGCAGAAGAAGCACCGGCUAACUCCGUG